rnacentral:rRNA from 1 species
GACGAACGCUGGCGGCGUGCUUAACACAUGCAAGUCGAACGGAAAGGCCCUGCUUUUGUGGGGUGCUCGAGUGGCGAACGGGUGAGUAACACGUGAGUAACCUGCCCUUGACUUUGGGAUAACUUCAGGAGACUGGGGCUAAUACCGGAUAGGAGCUCCUGCUGCAUGGUGGGGGUUGGAAAGUUUCGGCGGUUGGGGAUGGACUCGCGGCUUAUCAGCUUGUUGGUGGGGUAGUGGCUUACCAAGGCUUUGACGGGUAGCCGGCCUGAGAGGGUGACCGGCCACAGUGGGACUGAGAUACGGCCCAGACUCCUACGGGAGGCAGCAGUGGGGAAUAUUGCACAAUGGGCGGAAGCCUGAUGCAGCAACGCCGCGUGCGGGAUGACGGCCUUCGGGUUGUAAACCGCUUUCGCCUGUGACGAAGCGUGAGUGACGGUAAUGGGUAAAGAAGCACCGGCUAACUACGUG